rnacentral:rRNA from 1 species
GAUGAACGCUGGCGGUGUGCCUAACACAUGCAAGUCGAGCGGCCGCACGAUAAGCUUUUUUUCUUGCUGUUGGCGAGUGGCGGGCGAGUAACACGUGCAUCAGCUUCUUCUUUUUCUUGGAUAAUUUCGGGAGACCGCAUCUGAUACCGCAUCAUACUUCCAACGGGAUGGUUCAAAAGUGAAUGACAGCUUUGCCGUCACAUUUAGCUGAUGUCGCGUUGCAUUAGCUAGUUGGUAAGGUAACGGCUUACCAAGGCUACGAUGCAUAGCCGACCUGAGAGGGUGAUCAGCCACACUGGAACUGAGACACGGUCCAGACUCCUACGGGAGGCAGCAGUAGGGAAUCUUCCGCAAUGGGCGAAAGCCUGACGGAGCAACGCCGCGUGAGUGAAGAAGGUCUUCGGAUCGUAAAACUCUGUUAUUAGGGAAGAACAGAAGUGGAUUUAAAUCUGGACGUCUUGACGGUACCUAAACAGAAAGCAACGGCUAACUACGUG